rnacentral:rRNA from 1 species
UUCCGGUUGAUCCUGCCGGAGGCCAUUGCUAUUGGGAUUCGAUUUAGCCAUGCUAGUCGCACGAGUUCAGACUCGUGGCGAAUAGCUCAGUAACACGUGGCCAAACUACCCUUCGGAGCACGAUACUCUCGGGAAACUGAGGCUAAUAGUGCAUACCACAAUCCACCUGGAAUGAGGAUUGUGCCAAAUGCUCCGGCGCCGAAGGAUGUGGCUGCGGCCGAUUAGGUAGACGGUGGGGUAACGGCCCACCGUGCCAAUAAUCGGUACGGGUCAUGAGAGUGAGAACCCGGAGACGGAAUCUGAGACAAGAUUCCGGGCCCUACGGGGCGCAGCAGGCGCGAAACCUUUACACUGCACGCCAGUGCGAUAAGGGAAUCCCAAGUGCGUAGGCAUAGAGCCUACGCUUUUGUACACCGUAGGGAGGUGUACGAAUAAGGGCUGGGCAAGACCGGUGCCAGCCGCCGCGGUAAUACCGGCAGCCCGAGUGAUGGCCGAUCUUAUUGGGCCUAAAGCGUCCGUAGCUGGCCGCACAAGUCCAUCGGAAAAUCCACCCGCUCAACGGGUGGGCGUCCGGUGGAAACUGUGUGGCUUGGGACCGGAAGGCGCGACGGGUACGUCCGGGGUAGGAGUGAAAUCCCGUAAUCCUGGACGGACCGCCGAUGGCGAAAGCACGUCGCGAGGACGGAUCCGACAGUGAGGGACGAAAGCCAGGGUCUCGAACCGGAUUAGAUACCCGGGUAGUCCUGGCCGUAAACAAUGUCUGUUAGGUGUGGCUCCCACUACGAGUGGGUGCUGUGCCGUAGGGAAGCCGCUAAACAGACCGCCUGGGAAGUACGUCCGCAAGGAUGAAACUUAAAGGAAUUGGCGGGGGAGCACUACAACCGGAGGAGCCUGCGGUUUAAUUGGAUUCAACGCCGG